rnacentral:rRNA from 1 species
AUACGUAUGUCGCAAGCGUUAUCCGGAAUUAUUGGGCGUAAAGCGAGUCUAGGCGGCUUGUUAAGUCAGAUGUGAAAAUGCGGGGCUCAACUCCGUAUUGCGUUUGAAACUGGCAGGCUAGAGUACUGGAGAGGUGGGCGGAACUACAAGUGUAGAGGUGAAAUUCGUAGAUAUUUGUGGGAAUGCCGAUAGUGAAGACAGCUCACUGGACAGAUACUGACGCUAAAGCUCGAAAGCGUGGGGAGCGAACAGGAUUAGAUACCCCUGUAGUCC